UAGCGGCGGACGGGUGAGUAACACGUGGGUAACCUGCCUGUAAGACUGGGAUAACUCCGGGAAACCGGGGCUAAUACCGGAUGGUUGUCUGAACCGCAUGGUUCAGACAUAAAAGGUGGCUUCGGCUACCACUUACAGAUGGACCCGCGGCGCAUUAGCUAGUUGGUGAGGUAACGGCUCACCAAGGCAACGAUGCGUAGCCGACCUGAGAGGGUGAUCGGCCACACUGGGACUGAGACACGGCCCAGACUCCUACGGGAGGCAGCAGUAGGGAAUCUUCCGCAAUGGACGAAAGUCUGACGGAGCAACGCCGCGUGAGUGAUGAAGGUUUUCGGAUCGUAAAGCUCUGUUGUUAGGGAAGAACAAGUGCCGUUCAAAUAGGGCGGCACCUUGACGGUACCUAACCAGAAAGCCACGGCUAACUACGUGCCAGCAGCCGCGGUAAUACGUAGGUGGCAAGCGUUGUCCGGAAUUAUUGGGCGUAAAGGGCUCGCAGGCGGUUUCUUAAGUCUGAUGUGAAAGCCCCCGGCUCAACCGGGGAGGGUCAUUGGAAACUGGGGAACUUGAGUGCAGAAGAGGAGAGUGGAAUUCCACGUGUAGCGGUGAAAUGCGUAGAGAUGUGGAGGAACACCAGUGGCGAAGGCGACUCUCUGGUCUGUAACUGACGCUGAGGAGCGAAAGCGUGGGGAGCGAACAGGAUUAGAUACCCUGGUAGUCCACGCCGUAAACGAUGAGUGCUAAGUGUUAGGGGGUUUCCGCCCCUUAGUGCUGCAGCUAACG
rnacentral:rRNA from 1 species